GAUGAACGCUGGCGGCGUGCUUAACACAUGCAAGUCGAACGGAAAGGCCCAAGCUUGCUUGGGUCCUCGAGUGGCGAACGGGUGAGUAACACGUGGGUGAUCUGCCCUGCACUUCGGGAUAAGCCUGGGAAACUGGGUCUAAUACCGGAUAGGACCACAUUUUGGAUGGUGUGGUGGAAAGUUUUUCGGUGUGGGAUGAGCUCGCGGCCUAUCAGCUUGUUGGUGGGGUAAUGGCCUACCAAGGCGUCAACGGGUAGCCGGCCUGAGAGGGUGUACGGCCACAUUGGGACUGAGAUACGGCCCAGACUCCUACGGGAGGCAGCAGUGGGGAAUAUUGCACAAUGGGCGCAAGCCUGAUGCAGCGACGCCGCGUGGGGGAUGACGGCCUUCGGGUUGUAAACUCCUUUCGCUAGGGACGAAGCGUUAUGUGACGGUACCUGGAGAAGAAGCACCGGCUAACUACGUG
rnacentral:rRNA from 1 species